GACGUAGGGCGCGAGCGUUGUCCGGAUUUAUUGGGCGUAAAGAGCUCGUAGGCGGCUUGUCGCGUCGUCUGUGAAAUCCCGCGGCUCAACUGCGGGCUGGCAGUCGAUACGGGCAGGCUGGAGUUCGGUAGGGGAGACGUGGAAUUCCGGGUGGUAGUGGUGAAAUGCGUAGAGAUCCGGAGGAACACCUGUGGCGAAGGCGGCCCCCUGGGCCCGCACCUGACGCUGAGACGCGAAAGCGCGGGGAGCGA
rnacentral:rRNA from 1 species